GGGCCCGCACAAGCGGAGGAACAUGUGGUUUAAUUCGAUGAUACGCGAGGAACCUUACCCGGGCUCGAACGGUGCAUGAAUGGACAAGAGAUUGUUCAGACCUUAGGGACAUGUAUCGAGGUGCUGCAUGGUUGUCGUCAGCUCGUGCCGUGAGGUGUCGGCUUAAGUGCCAUAACGAGCGCAACCCUUGUCAUUAGUUACCAUCAGGUAGAGCUGGGGACUCUAAUGAGACUGCCACCGUAAGGUGAGAGGAAGGGGGGGAUGACGUCAAAUCAGCACGGCCCUUAUGUCCGGGGCGACACACGUGUUACAAUGGGGGGUACAGAGGGCAGCCAUCCGGCGACGGAGCGCCAAUCUCAAAAACCCUUCUCAGUUCGGAUUGGAGUCUGCAACUCGACUCCAUGAAGUUGGAUUCGCUAGUAAUCGCGCAUCAGCCAUGGCGCGGUGAAUACGUUCCCGGGCCUU
rnacentral:rRNA from 1 species